AAAGGGUGCGUAGGCGGCCUGCCAAGUCAGCGGUAAAAUUGCGGGGCUCAACCCCGUACAGCCGUUGAAACUGCCGGGCUCGAGUGGGCGAGAAGUAUGCGGAAUGCGUGGUGUAGCGGUGAAAUGCAUAGAUAUCACGCAGAACCCCGAUUGCGAAGGCAGCAUACCGGCGCCCUACUGACGCUGAGGCACGAAAGUGCGGGGAUCAAACAGGAUUAGAUACCCUGGUAGUCCGCACAGUAAACGAUGAAUGCUAGCUGUCCGGGGGGGUUGACCCCUGGGUGGCACAGCGAAAGCGUUAAGCAUUCCACCUGGGGAGUACGCCGGCAACGGUGAAACUCAAAGGAAUUGACGGGGGCCCGCACAAGCGGAGGAACAUGUGGUUUAAUUCGAUGAUACGCGAGGAACCUUACCCGGGCUCAAACGCCGAAGGAACAUUCCCCGAAAGGGGAAUGGCCAGCAAUGGUCUUCGGCGAGGUGCUGCAUGGUUGUCGUCAGCUCGUGCCGUGAGGUGUCGGCUUAAGUGCCAUAACGAGCGCAACCCCCACCGACAGUUGCUAACUGGUCAAGCAGAGGACUCUGUCGGGACUGCCGGCGCAAGCUGCGAGGAAGGCGGGGAUGACGUCAAAUCAGCACGGCCCUUACGUCCGGGGCGACACACGUGUUACAAUGGCAGGUACAGCGGGAUGCCAUGGGGCGACCCAGAGCGGAACCCGAAAACCUGUCUCAGUUCGGAUUGGAGUCUGCAACCCGACUCCAUGAAGCUGGAUUCGCUAGUAAUCGCGCAUCAGCCACGGCGCGGUGAAUACGUUCCCGGGCCUUGUACACACCGCCCGUCAAGCCAUGGGAGCCGGGGGUGCCUGAAGGCCGUGACCGCGAGGAGCGGCCUAGGGUAAAACUGGUGACUGGGGCUAAGUCGUAACAAGGUAACCGUAA
rnacentral:rRNA from 1 species